rnacentral:tRNA from 1 species
ACCUGGCUAGCUCAGUUGGUCGAGCAUGGGACUCUUGAUCUCAGGAAUGUGCGUUUGAGCCCCGCACUGGGUG